CGGGAGCUGUGGGGGGCUCACUCCUUCCCUUGCAGCAGUGAGCACUCCAAGGGCCGGGGCCUGGACAUGAGCGGCAGCGGUGAGCUGGGAGCUGCUGGCCUGGAGUCUAGAUGAAUACAGGCAGCAGCCGAAGGCCACAGUCACAACAAACCUACCCACUCCCACCACUGUCAUCUCAUAUUGUCCUAAAAUUUCCAGCCAGUGCAAAAAACAUGAAAAAGAAAAAAUACAGCCACUGGAAAAGAGGAAAAGUAAUUGUUAUUAGCUGAUGAUGUGAAUGUCUUCCUGAAAACCUUAAGAGAACCAAUUGGAAAACAACCAGAAAUUAGGCAACUGCUGAUCUGCUUUCUGUCACUUUGGGCGAGUUUUGCCUGUCCUGGGAUUUCAUAUCCCUGGAAUCCUGCAGUAUGUAGCCCUCUGUCUGGCUUCCUUGCUCCGUGUAAUGUUCUUGAGAUUCAUCCAUGCAGCUGUGUAUACCUGCAGUGAUUGUUUCUCUUAUUGAUUGCUGAGAAGGGUUCCAUCGUAUGCCUUUUCCAGUUUAUUUGUUCAUCUGUUGUUAGACAUUGGAGUUAUUUCCAGCUUGGGACUCUUGUGAACAAAACUGCUAUAAACAUGCAUAUUCAA
rnacentral:lncRNA from 1 species